GCUCCCAUGGCGUAGUGGUCACUGCGCUCGCCUUGCACGCGGGAGACCCGGGUUCGAUUCCCGGCGGGGUCU
rfam:Asian citrus Psyllid, Diaphorina citri - Florida Strain, whole genome shotgun sequence.